CAAAGGCAUGGUCCCGACCUUAAUAUCAGCUUUAACAUGACUUACACAUGCUAGUCUCCGCACCCCAGUGAGUAUGCCCUCAAUCCCCCGCCCGGGGAAGAGGAGCGGGCAUCAGGCACGUAUUAUAUAGCCCAAGACGCCUAGCCAAGCCACACCCCCAAGGGAAUUCAGCAGUGAUAGAUAUUGAGCAAUGAGUGCAAACUUGACUCAGUUAGCGUUUAUAGGGCCGGUAAAACUCGUGCCAGCCACCGCGGUUAGACGAGAGGCUCUAGUUGAUAACACCACGGCGUAAAGGGUGGUUAGGGAUGAAUGCAAAAUAAAGCUGAAUGGCCCCCUGGCCGUCAUACGCUCCUGGAAGUCCGAAGCCCGAUAACGAAAGUAGCUUUAGUAAGCCCACCUGACCCCACAAAAGCUAAGAAACAAACUGGGAUUAGAUACCCCACUAUGCUUAGCCGUAAACCAAAACACCCCCAUACAACCUAUGUUCGCCAGGGAACUAUGAGCAUUAGCUUAAAACCCAAAGGACCUGACGGUGCCUCAGACCCCCCUAGAGGAGCCUGUUCUAGAACCGAUAACCCCCGUUUAACCUCACCACUUCUAGUCAUCCCAGCCUAUAUACCGCCGUCGCCAGCUUACCCUGUGAAGGAUAAAAAGUAAGCAAAAUGGGCACAACCCAGAACGUCAGGCCGAGGUGUAGCGCAUGAAGUGGGAAGAAAUGGGCUACAUUUUCUGAUACAGAACAUUUACGAAUGUGCACCAUGAAAAUAGUGCUUAAAGGAGGAUUUAGUAGUAAAAAGGAAGCAGAGUGUCCUUUUGAACCCGGCUCUGAGGCGCGUACACACCGCCCGUCACCCUCUCCUGUCACCCAGCACCUCAAGUAAAUAACACCACAGCACCGACAAGGGGAGGCAAGUCGUAACACGGUAAGUGUACCGGAAGGUGCACUUGGAUCAAACC
rnacentral:ncRNA from 1 species